UCUGAGGAGAUCUGCAAUAAAUGAG
rnacentral:piRNA from 1 species